rnacentral:lncRNA from 8 species
UGCACUUUCCCUUUGAUGUUAGUGAGAAGAGAAUGUUCUCACAAUUCUCUAAUAAUAGUUCUCUUUUUCAAAUUUGUCACAUGGGCCAAAUACAACAGGUGUAGACCUUACUGUGAAAUGCUUACUUACAAACCCUUAACCAACAAUGCAGUUAAGAAAAUAUUUACAACAAAAAAGUAACAAUAAUGAGGCUAUAUAAAGGGGGUACCAGUACAAGUCAAUGUGCAGGGUAGUCGAGGCAAUUUGUACAUGUAGGUAGGGGUAAAGUGACUAUGCAUAGAUAAUAAACAGCAAGUUGCUAGUGAAGUCUUUCAAUUUUCCAUUGAGGUUGGACUACUUAAAUGUCAAGAGUCACAAAGCCACAAGAAGGUAGAACACAUUGUAAACAUUGCUUGUUAGGGGGAUGUAGUUGCAGAAACAAUGGAUUGGUUUAGUCGACUUCGUCAAUCGCUGUUCCAAAUUACAAAGUGAUUUGUAGCGCAUUUCUGUGAUGAGAUAUAUAUAUAUAUAUAUAUCUUACCAGGGGCGAUGAGCUCCUUCACAUUGUAAUACAAGUGACUUUCCUCAGCAGCAACUAUAUCAGUCGAUCGAUCAUGUGCAGGUGACAGCAAGAGGUCGUUGUCAUGGUCCUUGCUGCUCGUCUCGAGCUCGACAGCAUAAUCAGUCCCAGUGACCGGCUGCAUUCCAAAGAAGUUUACCUGACCUUGAGAUUGUGGGGGAGAUACCUGCUAUCACAAGGGAACAGGUGUAAUAGCAGGACCAGUUUGGCGACUCGUUCUUUAACUGAACAGAAGCAGACAGGUGAACGCCUGGAGUGUCUAUCUCCCCAUCUUAUCUCUUGGUGCCUAUGUCAAUUUAAGUACACAAUCUCUGAGGUGAGUGAGAAUCUGAAACGCCUAUAUUUGCUCACAGUUCCUUCCUCCAGGAUAUGUGUAGCACAGGAACUUAGGCUCUGGUUACAGAGCAUGUUUUGUUGAUGAAUUUUUCAUAGUAAAUAGAAUAAUGAAAAUUGGGGUGCAAUGUUAUACAACAGCUAUCAUUCAUAGAACCACCAUUGUAAGAUGUUUUACAUGUAAAUUGUAGCUGUGUAUGUGUUUCACAAAAAUCAAAAGACCUCUUCUUACACUGAAAUAUUCUUGAAAUGUACAUAAUCAUCUCAAAGAUGUGUAAUUGAUUGUGGUAUGUACUGAAUGUCAGUCAUUAAAGGCAUGUGCGUGCAGUCAUAAAACAGAUUAUAAAAUGGAGGAUUACAAUUCAUGGCAUUUGAGACAUUCAAUCGGCUCUACUGUCAGGCACCUGUACACCGCAAAGCCAUCCUGCAUCAUGGAAUCCAUUUAUGACAUUACAGAGAGGCUAUUGCAUGAAAAGGUUAUGAAGAGAGCAGUUGCUGUCAACUCAAUCAUCAGUCAAACACACUGCCUUAUAAAGUAAUCUUUUUAACCAGCCUGGCUGUGUUCAAGACUCUGCCCCAAGAUAGCAUCAACAGGAUUUACGUGCACACAGAGUGUGACAGAGUCACUGCUCCAAGUACUUUGUCUCUCUCCCUCUUAAUCCACUGUUUCCUUUAACACUAGCCCUCCUCAUUGGUCAGCAGUAAGGAGACCUUGAUGUACUGGAAUUUGCCGCAUCAAAGGUGAACUUGACCUAGCUCUUCUACCGCCGGUGAUGUUAUUAACCUAGAGCAACCUCUUUGCCGUCAAAGAGUAAGCAGCUAGGGUAUCUUUUAAUAACCUUGUUUUUUUUAUGCAUUUGAUAUCUACGGGCCAGUUGGUGGAUUGUGAUAAUUCUUCUAACUAAUCCCUUGGGGUAAAUCUGUCACCAUGUUUCGGGAUUUGAUUAGAAACAACAAUCCUGGGGGGGUAACAGAAGACAGUUUGAUUCCCUGGUAGUAUCACAGCACAUAUCAUGCUAAUCAACUGGAACUAGGAUUUAUGUCUGUAAUUGAUCAUUUGUUGCUUAAACAGGAAAAACAGUAUUGAGGUACAUCAUUUUUUUCUUACUUCUCAUUUUAAAGUCUACAGUAUAUGGGUGUGAUCUUAUGUUGCACAACCUCUGAAAGCAUAUGAAACUAUGAAAUUAAUUAUAGGCCUAAUUCUCCCUAUGCUUUUAUUUUGCACCUGGAUCUCUUGGAAUGAAUCGAUGGAUGUGCCUCUCAACUGUGAUUAUGUUCAUCUUCUGCUGGUGAGUUGGAUGUUACUUUUACUUUGAUGUGUGAAGAAAGACAGACUUUUGUUUUACAUUUGUGCUUUAAUCCUAUUUGAUAUUUACCUUUCAAAACCUGACAAAAUACAUAUUUAAAAUGUGAUUCCUCAGUCUAUUUUAUGUAUUAUUUGGUUGGCUGAAAUGAAGAUGUUGGUUUUGGUUUCAUCAUGGUUUGAUGCUUAAGAUGUAGGCCUUUUGACAUAUGACCCUAUCACAUGACAGUGUUGUGAGUGUCCCUUUAGACCUAUGUAGCACAGUCCUGUUAUUUGGUACAACACAGUGGCAAUGUACUAGUAAGUAACUUAAUGUACCUUGUGCAGUAAGUACUAGCAUGUCAAGGUUAUAAACAAAGACAAGGCCAUCGAUCCAUUUCGCUACAAACAUACAAUAAGAGGCAAUCAAUGCAUUAAUAAUGAACGCUCAACCUCCUAGACUUUAAUGGUAUCUAUUGAUCCUCAGUGCCCACAACCGAAUAUCUGCUCUGUAAUGGAUAUUUGAUGGAAAGCGAAAGUGCUAAUGGUUGUUUUGUGUGUGCUGCUGCACUACCCUGCAGCAAGGUGGUCCAUUCUUUAUUUGUUUUGCCAAGUAAAGCUGUUGAUAUACAAUACCAGUCAAAAGUUUGGACACACCUCCUCAUUCAAGGGUUUUUCUUUAUUUGUACUAUUUUCUACAUUGUAGAAUAGUAGUGAAGACAUCAGAAAUAUGAAAUAACACAUAUGGAAUCAUGUAGUAACCAAAAAAAGUGUUCAACAAAUCAAAAUAUAUUUUAUAUUUGAGAUUCUUCAAAUAGCCACCCUUUGCCUUAAUGACAGCUUUGCACACUCUUGGCAUUCUCUCAACCAGCUUCACGAGGAAUGCUUUUCCAACAGUCUUGAAGGGGUUCCCACAUAUGCUGAGCACUUGUUUGCUGCUUUUCCUUCACUCUGCAGUCCAACUCAUCCCAAACCAUCUCAAUUGCAUUGAGGUUGAGUGAUUGUGGAGGCCAGGUCAUCUGAUGCAGCACUCCAUCACUCUCCUUGGUCAAAUAGCCCUUACACAGCCUGGAGGUGUGUAUUGGAUCAUUGUCCUGUUGAAAAACAAAUGAUAGUCCUACUAAGCGCAAACCAGAUGGGAUGGUAUAUUGCUGCAGAAUGCUGUGGUAGCCAUGCUGGUUAAGUGUGCCUUGAAUUCUAAAUAAAUCACAGACAGUGUCACCAGCAAAGCACCAUCGUUGAUGUUGAGAUGUGUCUGUUACUUGAACUCUGUGAAGCAGUUAUUUGGGCUGCAAUCUGAGGUGCAGUUAAUUGUCGAUUUCUGAGGCUGGUAACUAAUGAACUUAUCCUCUGCAUCAGAGGUAACACUGGGCCUUCCUUUCCUGUGGCGGUCCUCAUGAGAGCCAGUUUUAUCAUAGCGCUUGAUGGUUUUUGCGACUGCAAUUGAAGAAACUUUAAAAGUUCUCGAAAUAUUCCGGAUUGACUGACCUUCAUGUCUUAAAGUAAUAAUGGACUGUCAUUUCUCUUUGCUUAUUUGAGAUGUUCUUGUCAUAAUAUGGGCUUGGUAUUGUACUAAAUA